GCUGGGCAUGGUGGCUCAUGCCUGUAAUCCCAACUACUCAGGAGGCUGAGGCAGGAAGAUUGCUUGAGCCUGGGAGGUCAAGUCUGCAGUAAGCUAUGAUUGCACCACUGCACUUCAGCCUGGGCAACAGAGCAAGACCCUGUCUCAA
ensembl:misc_RNA Metazoa_SRP Metazoan signal recognition particle RNA